rnacentral:lncRNA from 1 species
AUUAACUAUCCCGGCAACCGUCGAUUAGAUGACCCUCGAUCCGACGGUUGCCCGUCCCCCCUUCAGCAGCGUACUCAAGUGUUAUUUCAGUACCUGAAUUGGGGUUAAGUCAACAUCUCUCCUUGGUUAUGUAGGUGUGUGAUUGCCUUUCCAAGUGUCCGAGGGGCCAACCCACCAUUUGUCCCUCCCUGGGAUAUGAUUUCUGCCUCUCAAUGUGGUAUACAGGUAUCAGAUUCUUCAUCUUCAUCAUCAUCAUCAUCUCUCCAUCACUUCUUAAUUAUAUGAUGUUACAUAUUCCAAUUGCAGCAUCAGAAACUGCCUGGAGCUUCAUGCCUACGCUUCUAUGUGGUCGUUAUACCAUAAACCCGACAUAAUUGAUUACGAUUCGAUCAUUCGUACUCAAUUCGGUGACUAGUUCAAUCCUUAAGUCAUCACAACUCCUGGUGUUUUUCUUGUAUGAUAUAGGAAGAUGAAAACUCAAUUGAUUUGGUAUUUUCAUGUACACAAGAGUUUAGCUUAGAUGAAUGAUUGAUCUUCAUUGUAUGUCUUCUUUGAUAACACUUGUUAGUGUCAAGGUGUCUCAACACUAUGUUGAUGCCGGUGCCAAGGUUCUUAGUGAUAAAUGCCACACUAUUCGUGCAUCAACUUUUUGUAUACUGUUACGCAAUCGAUUGGAUCAUAAAGACACCCACACAACACAA